AACAGAAACGUUACGCUAAAUGGAACGACGAACGUGAAACUCAGUCGACCACCUCAAAUGAGCUCCCUACGAGCUUUAAGUGAACACCAUUGUUGCUGGUGGUGAAGGAUAGGUUUGUUUUUGGUUUUGCAUCGUGUGUUUUGUUCAACCACUGAAGCUUUACUGUGUGUUGUUUCUAAAAUGGGAGAUGAAGGUUGCCUACUGGUUCAUGAAAGGCAUGGAGGGGUUGUGUAAUGGUUGAAGAAGAAGCAUCUAGCCUUUUUUGUGCGUUUUUCGUUUUUUUUUCCAGCUGUUGAGUCUUUUUC
rnacentral:lncRNA from 1 species